rnacentral:rRNA from 1 species
UCGCCUGUUUUUUCAAAAACAUUUCUAUUAGAAAUUUUUAAUAGUAAAGUCUGCUCAAUGAACAUUAAAUAGCCGCAAUUUAGUGCUAAGGUAGCAUAAUAAUUUGUCUUUUAAAUGAAGACUAGAACAAAAGACUUAACUUUUUAAUUAAUUUCUUAUUACUAACCAUUAAAUUUAUCUUAAGAGUUAAAAGACUUUUAUUUAUAAAAAAGACGACAAGACCCUAUUGAACUUAACUUAAGUUAUACUGGGGCAGUAAAUUAAUUAUAAUUUUAAUUAAAAUAAAUAUACAAAAAGCCUAAUAUAAGAUAAUUCAGUUACCAUAGGGAUAACAGCGUAAUUAAAUUUAAGAGCCCUUAUCCUAAAUAUAGAUUACGACCUCGAUGUUGAAUUAAUAUCCUAAUGAAGUAAAUAUAAAAUUAGGAAGUCUGUUCGACUUUUUAAUAAUUACCUGAUCUGAUUCCAGACCGGA